GCCUGGGUGGCACAAAUGGUUACUGCACUUUGCUGCUAACCUAAAGUUUGGAGGUUCAAAUCCACCCAGAGGCA
rnacentral:tRNA from 1 species